AGUCUUGUAGUUUAAUUAAAACAUUAAAUUGCAAAUUUAAAGAAAAUACAAAGUUUAAGACUU
rnacentral:tRNA from 1 species